rnacentral:lncRNA from 12 species
GCUUUCUAUGUGAUGAUUGCUCUUCUCUCCAUAUAUUACAUCCUAACAUCUUGGACCAGGAUGGAAGCGCACCAUUGCUGCAGCACCCACGGGAGCCACAGACUCAUGGGCAGGCAUCUGUCUCACUACCUCUGCUCCUGCAAGGGGUGACUUCUGGCAGAGGAGAUGGGC